rnacentral:rRNA from 1 species
CUACGGGGGGCAGCAGUGGGGAAUAUUGCACAAUGGGCGCAAGCCUGAUGCAGCAACGCCGCGUGAGGGACGACGGCCUUCGGGUUGUAAACCUCUUUUAGCAGGGAAGAAGCGAAAGUGACGGUACCUGCAGAAAAAGCACCGGCUAACUACGUGCCAGCAGCCGCGGUAAUACGUAGGGUGCAAGCGUUGUCCGGAAUUAUUGGGCGUAAAGAGCUCGUAGGCGGUUUGUCGCGUCUGCUGUGAAAAUCCGAGGCUCAACCUCGGACCUGCAGUGGGUACGGGCAAACUAGAGUGCGGUAGGGGAGAUUGGAAUUCCUGGUGUAGCGGUGGAAUGCGCAGAUAUCAGGAGGAACACCAAUGGCGAAGGCAGAUCUCUGGGCCGUAACUGACGCUGAGGAGCGAAAGCGUGGGGAGCGAACAGGAUUAGAUACCCCCGUAGUC